GGUAGAAUGGCCGAGUGUUAGGCGGCGGAUUGUAGUCCCGUAUACAGAGGCUCAUCCCUCUUUUUACCA
rnacentral:tRNA from 1 species